rnacentral:rRNA from 1 species
GCUCAGGAUGAACGCUAGCGGCAGGCUUAAACACAUGCAAGUCGAGGGGCAGUGCGUUGUAGCAAUACGGAUGGCGGCGACCGGCGUAAGGGUGAGUAACGCGUGAGCGACGUGCCCGUCACAGGGGGACAAGCGCUGGAAACGGCGUCUGAUACCCCAUAGGAAUAUCUUCUGCAUGGGAGAUGUUUGAAAGAUUUAUCGGUGACGGAUCGGCUCGCGUCCGAUUAGGUAGACGGCGGGUAACGGCCCACCGUGCCGACGAUCGGUAGGGGUUCUGAGAGGAAGGUCCCCCACAUUGGAACUGAGACACGGUCCAGACUCCUACGGGAGGCAGCAGUGAGGAAUAUUGGACAAUGGCCGGAAGGCUGAUCCAGCCAUGCCGCGUGCGGGAGGACGGCCCUAUGGGUUGUAAACCGCUUUUGUGUGGGAGCAAUAAGAGCCACGUGUGGCUUGAUGAGAGUACCAUACGAAUAAGCAUCGGCUAACUCCGUGCC